CAGUAGGGAAGAAGAGGGAGAGAGAAGGGCGGGGAGGGAGGAAGAAUUGAAAGAGAGGGCGCGGGGUGGGAGGAAGAAGGGAGAGGCGCUGGAGAGAGAGGGGCGCUGGAGGUCGCCGGCGGCGGGCUGGGUAGGCGGCUGGAAGAUCUGCUGGUGGGGAAGAGGAGAAGCGAGAGAGAUAAGGCAGGAGGAAGAAAAGAUGCGCUGGGUGAGGGAGGAAGAAGGCAGACAGAGAUGUGCAGCUUGGAUGGUUCCACGUCAUCGAUUCGUGGCUCGGUCACGCGGAUCGGUGACGUGGCAAAUAUGCCUUUGCCGGAGGCCGGCCGCCGGCAAAGACAUAUUUUUUGUUUUUUUAAUGUGUAUACUUAGCAAAGACUUUUUUCAGUUUAUUUUUGUUAUUUUGACUUGUAAUUUUUAUCCCAUGUUUAGAUACCUAUAACAUGACACCAUGCCAAAACUUAUUAAUUUUUGGUAAAGUUUAGGUAUUAUUUCACUUUUGUCUAUUGAACGUCUCCAAUAAAUGAUAAGUAAUUAUUUUUACAUACAAGGUGUUAAUUUUGUUCAUUUUAAUUGACAUUCGUCAUCCCUAAUGCCAAGUGAAACCAAAGUAAAAAAACCAACUCAAAAAGGAAAAAUCUUAUGGCAAAAUUUGGUUUGGGACACAAAUUGGACGUUUGAGCGCUAAGUUCGGGAACUUAUACGAAGAUGUUGUAAUUUGUGAAGCAUGCACCAUUUUAAUUUUGUGUAUGGACCUGUAAUUUUUAUCCCAAGUUUAUAUACCCAUAAAAUGACACCAUGCCAAAAAUUGUUCUGUUUUGACAAAAUUUUAGUAUUAUUUCAUUUUUUCCUAUUAAACGGCUCUAGAAAUGAUAAGUAAUUAUUUUUACAUAAAAUGUGGUGAUUUUAAUUCAUAUUAGUAAUCAUUAAUGAAAAAUGAAACCACAGAAAAA
rnacentral:lncRNA from 1 species